UGGGUAACCUGCCUCAAAGAGGGGAAUAGCCUCCCGAAAGGGAGAUUAAUACCGCAUAAUAUGUUUUAGUCGCAUGACUUAAACAUCAAAGGAUUUUCUUUUAAGAAAUUCCACUUUGAGAUGGACCCCGCGGCGCAUUAGCUAGUUGGUGAGGUAACGGCUCACCAAGGCAACGAUGCGUAGCCGACCUGAGAAGGUGAUCGGCCACAUUGGAACUGAGACACGGCCCAGACUCCGUAGGGAGG
rnacentral:rRNA from 1 species